CUGUAUUCAAACAUGCACAUUCUUCUUGCUUCACUUUCCCAACUUUAUCUUUCUCAUUUGUUUAAACCUAAUCUAUUGUGAUGUACCUCUGAACUCCAGAAGUUUGGCUCAGCAUAUGUCGUUUUGCCCUAGGUCUUGAUCCCCAGCACUGAUACCAUGGGUAUAAAUUUUAUUUUCUAAGCUCAUUUUGAUGUAUUAGGUAGUGAAAUAACCAUAAAAACAAUAAUAGUGAUAAAAGGAAAUGUUCUUAUAAACAGAUAUGAACGAUGUUUGAUUCUAGUGUCCUGGAAUUACUCUUUUCAGCAGUGUAAGGACUCUGAUUUUUAUUUUUUUAUUUUUAUUUUUGAAAGGCAGAGAGAAGCACAGAGAGAAGCUGACAAAAGACAGAGUUCUCAAUCACGGUACACUACCCAAAUGCCUCCAUCAGCUGAGGAUGGCCCAUGCAGAAGUCAGCAACCCAGAACUCAAUCUGAGUCUCCUAGAAGUCAACAGCUGACAAUGUAAAACUGAAAGGAAAGAAACAAAAAAUCAAGAAAAGUGAAGAUAUGAAUAUAUUUGCAUGGUAUUUAUCAAUCUGGCGAGAAAUUCCAAUAAGAAACAACCAAGAAUUUUCUGGAA